GAUGAACGCUGGCGGCGUGCCUAAUACAUGCAAGUCGAGCGAACGGACGAGAAGCUUGCUUCUCUGAUGUUAGCGGCGGACGGGUGAGUAACACGUGGAUAACCUACCUAUAAGACUGGGAUAACUUCGGGAAACCGGAGCUAAUACCGGAUAAUAUUUUGAACCGCAUGGUUCAAAAGUGAAAGACGGUCUUGCUGUCACUUAUAGAUGGAUCCGCGCUGCAUUAGCUAGUUGGUAAGGUAACGGCUUACCAAGGCAACGAUGCAUAGCCGACCUGAGAGGAUGAUCGGCCACACUGGAACUGAGGCACGGUCCAGACUCCUACGGGAGGCAGCAGUAGGGAAUCUUCCGCAAUGGGCGAAAGCCUGACGGAGCAACGCCGCGUGAGUGAUGAAGGUCUUCGGAUCGUAAAACUCUGUUAUUAGGGAAGAACAUAUGUGUAAGUAACUGUGCACAUCUUGACGGUACCUAAUCAGAAAGCCACGGCUAACUACGUG
rnacentral:rRNA from 1 species